CAGGUUAGCAUAUCUCUCACGCCCUUUCACUCACAGUGCCAGUCUGGCGCCUUUUGAACAGCAAAGCAGCUGGGUACACUCCAUACAGACCAUAAAAGCCACUGUGAUCAGGACUAUCAGGCGCCAGGCAUGAGUCUCACCGUAGAAGAGUGGUCUGGGCUCCUCUGCGACUCCACAGGGCAGCAUGCCGUUGUUGGGUGCCAGGGCCGGGCCAGGUGUCUGCGUGCCCCGGUCUUCACACUUUAUCUCCUGAAAAUAGGUGCGCCAGCUGUGUGGGUCCGGCUCGAACACAUCAUCCUCUUCAUCGUCCAUGCGGGGGCACUUUGAGAUGAGCAGCCUUAAAGGGCAGUUACUGGUGAUCCUCCCCUCUGGGCUAUCAACGAUCAAUAAACCCCCUGGACAGCUGCAGCUGAGGCGGACCCUAUGCAUUCUCUCACACAUCCUCACCCUGCCCCCAACUCCUCUUUCUCUUCUCUAUUCCUCCGCGUCCAUCAGCUGUGAUCAUGUCCCACCACUGAGCAGUGUGAGAAGUCACGGGUCCGUGCCUCCUCUGUCCUGCCUGAAUUGGAUGGACCUCUUGUGUUUUUUUUUUUUCACACACCUGCAGCCUCUCCAAAAGAGGUUGGCAUGCACUGGGGAAGAGAGGAUUGGUUUCCUCACUCAGUGUGAUAUUUGGACAUUUGAUCUCCUCUUGCAUGAGUGAGCACUGUAAACAACAAAAGGGUGCAAAGAUGUGAGAGCAUUAGCUGCAGCUUCCUUUUGUGUCCCAGCCAAACAAAAAAGACCCCACAUACUUAAGAGACAAUAACGAAAACCCCUGUAAUUACUAAAGAGACAGUAUAGGAAUCUGUUUAAGUACAGGUCAUUGUCAUAGAAACGCUAAGGACGUCAAAGUAUUCCAAAUGCAGGUAAUAAAAGUUGGGAAAAAUUACAUUUUUAAUUUGCUACUGAGCAUUUGACUGUUCAAGUGGGAUACAAUAUUAAUGAAGAACUCAUGUAUACUGUAUUGAUUACAGUUUACAUAAGAUAACAAACAUGAGUUAUUUAUUAGCAUGCAUUAGUCUAUGAUAUUAGCAUUUGAGAGCAAACACACAAAUCAUUGAGGCCAUAAAGCAGCUCUCAGUGGGACAUACAUACAGGCCUCUAUAACAUAAAUAAUGAAUAUGGAUAUAUCCACUGUACCU